GGAUGUGAGGGCGGUCUGGCUGCGACAUCUGUCACCCCAUUGAUCGCCAGGGUUGAUUCGGCUGAUCUGGCGGUUAGGCGGGUGUCCCCUUCCUCCCUCAACGCUCCAUGUGUGUCCCCCCGAAGCUGCGCGCUGGGUCCAAGAGGACGACCACCCCCGCUAGAGGAGGAACGGUCUUCGGUCAAGGGUGUACAGCAGCUGCGCUCCCCUGGCAGAACCUCCCAACAAGCUCUCAAGGUCUGCUUUUAUGCAGGUGAACUGAGUCACUGUCACCAUACUAAGUCAUCAUAUACAGCAGUCUCUAUUUCCGGGCUGGUUACGCUUUUCUAU
rnacentral:snRNA from 1 species